GCCAGCGUGGCUCAAUGGUAGAGCAGCACCCUCGUAAAGUGCAGGUUGUCAGUUCGAUUCUGACCGCUGGCU
rfam:Parcubacteria group bacterium CG1_02_40_25 cg1_0.2_scaffold_17435_c, whole genome shotgun sequence.